GGAAUGGCUGUGAUGCUUCUGAUUAAAUUUAUGAGAGAAGUAUUUUCCCUCUGAUUAAACAAUCCAAUGGAUCCUUCUGAGCUUUUUC